AAAUUGAAGAGUUUGAUCAUGGCUCAGAUUGAACGCUGGCGGCAGGCCUAACACAUGCAAGUCGAGCGGUAACACAGAGAGCUUGCUCUCGGGUGACGAGCGGCGGACGGGUGAGUAAUGUCUGGGAAACUGCCUGAUGGAGGGGGAUAACUACUGGAAACGGUAGCUAAUACCGCAUAACGUCGCAAGACCAAAGUGGGGGACCUUCGGGCCUCAUGCCAUCAGAUGUGCCCAGAUGGGAUUAGCUAGUAGGUGGGGUAAUGGCUCACCUAGGCGACGAUCCCUAGCUGGUCUGAGAGGAUGACCAGCCACACUGGAACUGAGACACGGUCCAGACUCCUACGGGAGGCAGCAGUGGGGAAUAUUGCACAAUGGGCGCAAGCCUGAUGCAGCCAUGCCGCGUGUAUGAAGAAGGCCUUCGGGUUGUAAAGUACUUUCAGCGAGGAGGAAGGCGUUAAGGUUAAUAACCUUGGCGAUUGACGUUACUCGCAGAAGAAGCACCGGCUAACUCGGUGCCAGCAGCCGCGGUAAUACGGAGGGUGCAAGCGUUAAUCGGAAUUACUGGGCGUAAAGCGCACGCAGGCGGUCUGUCAAGUCGGAUGUGAAAUCCCCGGGCUCAACCUGGGAACUGCAUUCGAAACUGGCAGGCUAGAGUCUUGUAGAGGGGGGUAGAAUUCCAGGUGUAGCGGUGAAAUGCGUAGAGAUCUGGAGGAAUACCGGUGGCGAAGGCGGCCCCCUGGACAAAGACUGACGCUCAGGUGCGAAAGCGUGGGGAGCAAACAGGAUUAGAUACCCUGGUAGUCCACGCCGUAAACGAUGUCGACUUGGAGGUUGUGCCCUUGAGGCGUGGCUUCCGGAGCUAACGCGUUAAGUCGACCGCCUGGGGAGUACGGCCGCAAGGUUAAAACUCAAAUGAAUUGACGGGGGCCCGCACAAGCGGUGGAGCAUGUGGUUUAAUUCGAUGCAACGCGAAGAACCUUACCUACUCUUGACAUCCAGAGAACUUAGCAGAGAUGCUUUGGUGCCUUCGGGAACUCUGAGACAGGUGCUGCAUGGCUGUCGUCAGCUCGUGUUGUGAAAUGUUGGGUUAAGUCCCGCAACGAGCGCAACCCUUAUCCUUUGUUGCCAGCGAUUCGGUCGGGAACUCAAAGGAGACUGCCAGUGAUAAACUGGAGGAAGGUGGGGAUGACGUCAAGUCAUCAUGGCCCUUACGAGUAGGGCUACACACGUGCUACAAUGGCAUAUACAAAGAGAAGCGACCUCGCGAGAGCAAGCGGACCUCAUAAAGUAUGUCGUAGUCCGGAUUGGAGUCUGCAACUCGACUCCAUGAAGUCGGAAUCGCUAGUAAUCGUAGAUCAGAAUGCUACGGUGAAUACGUUCCCGGGCCUUGUACACACCGCCCGUCACACCAUGGGAGUGGGUUGCAAAAGAAGUAGGUAGCUUAACCUUCGGGAGGGCGCUUACCACUUUGUGAUUCAUGACUGGGGUGAAGUCGUAACAAGGUAACCGUAGGGGAACCUGCGGUUGGAUCACCUCCUUACCUUAAAGAA
rnacentral:rRNA from 1 species